rnacentral:misc_RNA from 1 species
AAGUCGUAACAAGGUUUCCGUAGGUGAACCUGCGGAAGGAUCAUUAUCGUUGGGCUUCGGCCCAUUCGAGAUAACACCCUUGCCUUUUUGAGUACCUUUUCGUUUCCUCGGCAGGCUCGCCUGCCAACGGGGACCCCAAAAACGCUUUGUAAUACCUGUCAUUGUCUGAUAUAACAAGCAAAAAUUAAAACUUUCAACAACGGAUCUCUUGGUUCUG